rnacentral:rRNA from 1 species
UACGAAGGGUGCAAGCGUUACUCGGAAUUACUGGGCGUAAAGCGCGCGUAGGCGGUUUGUUAAGUCCGUUGUGAAAGCCCUGGGCUCAACCUGGGAAUUGCAGUGGAUACUGGCGAGCUAGAGUGCGGUAGAGGAUGGUGGAAUUCCCGGUGUAGCGGUGAAAUGCGUAGAGAUCGGGAGGAACACCCGUGGCGAAGGCGGCCAUCUGGACCAGCACUGACGCUGAGGCGCGAAAGCCAGGGGAGCAAACGGG